rnacentral:rRNA from 1 species
GUUGACCUCGGAUCAGGUAGGAAUACCCGCUGAACUUAAGCAUAUCAAUAAGCGGAGGAAAAGAAACCAACAGGGAUUGCCUCAGUAACGGCGAGUGAAGCGGCAACAGCUCAAAUUUGAAAUCUGGCCCCCAGGCCCGAGUUGUAAUUUGUAGAGGAUGAUUCUGGCGACGCGCCUUCCGAGUUCCCUGGAACGGGACGCCAUAGAGGGUGAGAGCCCCGUACGGUCGUGCGCCUAGCCUCUGUGAAUCUCCUUCGACGAGUCGAGUAGUUUGGGAAUGCUGCUCUAAAUGGGAGGUAUACGUCUUCUAAAGCUAAAUACCGGCCAGAGACCGAUAGCGCACAAGUAGAGUGAUCGAAAGAUGAAAAGCACUUUGAAAAGAGGGUUAAAAAGUACGUGAAAUUGCUGAAAGGGAAGCGCUUAUGACCAGACUUGGGCGUGGUGAAUCAUCCGGCGUUCUCGCCGGUGCACUUUGCCUGUCCAGGCCAGCAUCAGUUCUCCCCGGGGGAUAAAGGCUUCGGGAAUGUAGCUCUUUCGGGAGUGUUAUAGACCGUUGCGUAAUACCCUGGGGGGG